AUGGAAGACCUACCGGAGGCUCUGCUGACUGAGAUUCUCAACAGGAUCACCACGACAAGUGAUCUCAAUUCUCUUUCCCUUGUGUCAAAGCAGCUCUACAAGAUAGAGGGGAAUCAAAGGGAUGCUAUCCGUGUUGGUUCCGGUCUUUGCAUUGCUACAAAAGAACUGACAUCAUUGUGCGCCCGCUUCCCAAAUCUGCGAAAAUUGGAAAUCGAUUACUCUGGUUGGAUACCUGGACAUGGAAAGCAGUUGGACAACAAAGGCCUUUUUGUGUUUUCAUCUCACUGUUCCUCGCUGAUUGAUCUCACAUUAAGCUUCUGCUCACAUAUCGAUGACUCUGGGCUUGCUUGUUUAGCUUAUUGUAAGACAUUGCUGUCUCUCACGCUCAACUCCACACCAAAAGUAACAUCAGUUGGGCUUUUCUCGGUUGCAGUUGGUUGCACAAGUCUAUCUGCUCUCCACCUUAUUGGUUGCGAGAAAAUUGACAGUGUAGAGUGGCUGGAAUACCUUGGUAGGGAUGGAUCGUUGGAAGAGCUUGUAGUGAAGAAUUGCCAAGGAAUCAAUCAUCAUGACUUCCUAAAGUUUGGUUCUGGAUGGAUGAAGCUCCAGAAGUUUGAGUUUGAGAGGAAAAGAGGAAAAUAUGAUCUUCUUGAUCCAGGUAAUGUGGUCUAUGACUCCUCCAUGGAUGUAUACGAUUUCUGCUGUGAGAGUUUGAAGGAUUUAAGGUUGGCGCAUAUUGAAACUUGGCCAGAAGCAGGACUUCGAGUUCUCCUAGGGAAGUGUAAAGCAUUGGAGAAGCUUUGCCUUGAGUAUGUUCGUGCCCUAAAUGAUAAUGACAUUAUUGCAUUAUCUCGGAGCUGCAGCAACCUUAAAAGAAUAUCACUUUGGCUCAACCUGCAGCGCUACUCUAGUGAUAUCAACUAUUGUGAGACCAGGACGUCGCUUACUGAUAACAGCCUUUACGCUCUAGCCCUCAACUGUUGUAUGCUUCAGAUGAUAGACCUCAGCUUUACAGGAUGUGAUGCCGACUGGCCAUCAGAAAUAGGAUUCACACAAGAGGGUUUUCUGGUGCUCAUUCAGUCCUGCCCAAUUCGUGUUCUUGUGCUCAACAACGCCAACUUCUUUGAUGACGAGGGGAUGAAGGCCCUCUCAUCCUCGCCUCAUCUGGAGACACUCGAGCUUAUAUUGUGUCAUGCGGUAACUGAUGCCGGGAUGCGCUUCAUUGCGCACACCCCAUGCUUGAGUAAUCUCACACUUCGGAUGUGUCAUAACGUUACUGAUGUUGGAGUGGCUGAACUGGAAGGUGCACAGAAGUUAGAGUCUUUGGUCAUCGAGUGUUGUGGUGAGGUCUCUCUGCAAGCUGCGCAGCGUGUUGCCAAGUCAGUUCAGUACUCCAGCGAGUGUUCAAAUGCCCUUAUGAAGAAAAUUGGUCUUGGCGGCUAUUGA
rnacentral:rRNA from 1 species